rnacentral:rRNA from 1 species
CCUACGGGGGGCUGCAGUGGGGAAUUUUGGACAAUGGGCGCAAGCCUGAUCCAGCCAUACCGCGUGCGGGAAGAAGGCCUUCGGGUUGUAAACCGCUUUUGUCAGGGAAGAAAUCUUCUGGGCUAAUACCUCGGGAGGAUGACGGUACCUGAAGAAUAAGCACCGGCUAACUACGUGCCAGCAGCCGCGGUAAUACGUAGGGUGCAAGCGUUAAUCGGAAUUACUGGGCGUAAAGCGUGCGCAGGCGGUUCCAUAAGACAGAUGUGAAAUCCCCG